GUUUGAUCAUGGCUCAGAUUGAACGCUGGCGGCAUGCUUUACACAUGCAAGUCGAACGGCAGCACGGGUGCUUGCACCUGGUGGCGAGUGGCGAACGGGUGAGUAAUGCAUCGGAACGUACCCAGUCGUGGGGGACAACGCACCGAAAGGUGUGCUAAUACCGCAUACGUCCUGAGGGAGAAAGCGGGGGACCGUAAGGCCUCGCGCGAUUGGAGCGGCCGAUGUCUGAUUAGCUAGUUGGUGGGGUAAAAGCUUACCAAGGCGACGAUCCGUAGCUGGUCUGAGAGGACGAUCAGCCACACUGGAACUGAGACACGGUCCAGACUCCUACGGGAGGCAGCAGUGGGGAAUUUUGGACAAUGGGCGCAAGCCUGAUCCAGCCAUGCCGCGUGAGUGAAGAAGGCCUUCGGGUUGUAAAGCUCUUUCGGCGGGGACGAAACGGUUCGCGUUAAUAACGCGGACAACUGACGGUACCCGCAGAAGAAGCACCGGCUAACUACGUGCCAGCAGCCGCGGUAAUACGUAGGGUGCAGGCGUUAAUCGGAAUUACUGGGCGUAAAGCGUGCGCAGGCGGUUUGUUAAGACAGGUGUGAAAUCCCCGGGCUUAACCUGGGAAUGGCGCUUGUAACUGGCAAGCUAGAGUGUGGCAGAGGGGGGUGGAAUUCCACGUGUAGCAGUGAAAUGCGUAGAUAUGUGGAGGAACACCGAUGGCGAAGGCACCCCCUGGGUUAACACUGACGCUCAUGCACGAAAGCGUGGGGAGCAAACAGGAUUAGAUACCCUGGUAGUCCACGCCCUAAACUAUGUCAACUAGUUGUCGGGGAAGAAAUUCCUUGGUAACGAAGCUAACGCGUGAAGUUGACCGCCUGGGGAGUACGGC
rnacentral:rRNA from 1 species